rnacentral:rRNA from 1 species
UGGGGAAUCUUGGACAAUGGGCGCAAGCCUGAUCCAGCCAUGCCGCGUGAGCGAUGAAGGCCUUAGGGUUGUAAAGCUCUUUCACCGGUGAAGAUAAUGACGGUAGCCGGAGAAGAAGCCCCGGCUAACUUCGUGCCAGCAGCCGCGGUAAUACGAAGGGGGCAAGCGUUGUUCGGAAUUACUGGGCGUAAAGGGCGUGUAGGCGGUCUAAUCAGUCAGUGGUGAAAGCCCUGGGCUCAACCCAGGAAUUGCCUUUGAUACUGUUAGACUAGAGUUCGGGAGAGGAUAGUGGAAUUCCCGAGUGUAGAGGUGAAAUUCGUAGAUAUUGGGAAGAACACCAGUGGCGAAGGCGGCUAUCUGGACCGAUACUGACGCUGAGGCGCGAAAGCGUGGGGAGCAAACAGGAUUAGAUACCCUGGUAGUCCACGCCGUAAACGAUGUCUGCUAGUCGUUGGGGGGCCGUAGCCCUUCAGUGGACGCCGCUAACGCAUUAA